rnacentral:lncRNA from 1 species
GAGUAAGUACAAUUUUCACACCUUAAAUUUAAAUAUUGAGGAAGAAAUCAUUUCAGAAUUGUGAAGAAACUCCUAAGGAUGGGGAAAGGGCUCCUGGAUCUGAAUAGCACCACAGAAACUGUUCUGGAGUGGAUCGGAUCAUAGCAAAGCUUCCACAUGCCACUUUUAACAUGGAGAAGUGGCAUUUCCAGGAUCAUUCUGUGACCAGGACUUGAGUCUUCAGAUAUUAAAGAAGUCAACACCAUUGGAGAUUAAAGAUAAACAUUUAAAAUGACUGUGGUGGCAUAGAAAGAUUAUUUCCAUCUGCAUGAUAUUUAUGGAAUAUAAUAAUGGAGAGAAUUUCUGCUACAUUUCUGAUUAAGGAUAACUCAUCCUUAAUAAUUCUGAUGAUUCAACGACACCAGAGCAGACUGUUCAGGUUUGGCAAAGUCACCUCUUCUACCCUAGAGAAUGACAACUUCGAUCCGCAUGAUGUUCAUGAUUCUUUUCAUUUGACUGAACUUUGAAGCACAAAGCUCUCCGGUUUCCCUCCAGUUUUGCUUCUUUCAUGGGAUUGAUUGGGUAAGUUCACACUACAUGGAAACUCAGUGUUGUCAACUUCUUUUCUCUCUAAGUUCAUCCACCUUUUCUCAAUAAGAAAGUGAUGGACCAAGGGUCUAUUCUUACUGAAGCAAUUUGAAGUGUUGC